rnacentral:rRNA from 1 species
UCUUUAGUUGCCAUCAUUAAGUUGGGCACUCUAGAGAGACUGCCAGGGAUAACCUGGAGGAAGGUGGGGAUGACGUCAAAUCAUCAUGCCCCUUAUGCUUAGGGCUACACACGUGCUACAAUGGGUAGUACAGAGGGUUGCCAAGCCGUAAGGUGGAGCUAAUCCCUUAAAGCUACUCUCAGUUCGGAUUGUAGGCUGAAACUCGCCUACAUGAAGCUGGAGUUACUAGUAAUCGCAGAUCAGAAUGCUGCGGUGAAUGCGUUCCCGGGUCUUGUACACACCGCCCGUCACACCACGGGAGUUGGAGACGCCCGAAGCCGAUUAUCUAACCUUUUGGAAGAAGUCGUCGAAGGUGGAAUCAAUAACUGGGGUGAAGUCGUAACAAGGUAGCCGUAUCGGAAGGUGCGGCUGGAUCACCUCCUUUCUAAGGA